CACAGCACCAACUAUUGCCCCCAAACUGCUGUCUCUUUCAAAGUUAUCUAGGACUCCAGAGCAAUUUAGCUCUUUUGAUAAGCCUUGCCAGAACUCAGGUUCUGACCGCUGGAAUGGGCAAUUUCCCUCUGGCUAAGUCUGGUCUAAAUGUUCCUUCUGUAAGUGCCAGUUGAUUUCUACCCAGUGUUGCUUUCUGCUGUGACAGGGCAGCACUGAGUUGCAAUGCAAAGCUCCACAGUCACUAGGCUCUCCUUCCCCCAAGAAAACAGAUUCUCUCUCCAUGCCAUGCAGCUGCUGCCAGAGAAUGAAGGAUGGUGUUAGCAUUUCAAGACUGUCUUUUCUGCCCUCUUCCGUUCUGCUUUCAGUGAUAUGAAGUUAAAACCAGGUAUGGACUUAUCUGUACUCAGCCAACUGUAGAAGAACAACCCUUCAGAGCUCCUGAGAGUUGGUCGUCUUCAUACAGCUACUCUGGAUUUAGCUAAUAACUUGGCCUGCCACAGUCUCAUGGAUCUGGCAGAAGACAUGAAACUCCUGGGUCAGAAGAAAAGGAUUUUAUGACUCGCAGUACAACAGGCAGCUCUUACUUCGUCUUCACAUCAGUUACCUUUCUCAUCUAAGUCCCGCAAGGGUGAUGCUGAGGUCAUCCCAGAUGGAUGCUAAACACAAAACAU
rnacentral:lncRNA from 10 species